GCCUGGCUGGCUCAGUCAGUAGAGCAUGCGACUCUUGAUCUCGGGGUUGUGAGUUCGAGCCCCACGUUAGGUG
rnacentral:tRNA from 1 species